rnacentral:rRNA from 1 species
UAGCAAUUAAAGGAGCAAUCCGCUAUGAGAUGGGCCCGCGGCGCAUUAGCUAGUUGGUGAGGUAACGGCUCACCAAGGCGACGAUGCGUAGCCGACCUGAGAGGGUGAUCGGCCACAUUGGGACUGAGACACGGCCCAGACUCCUACGGGAGGCAGCAGUGGGGAAUAUUGCACAAUGGGGGAAGCCCUGAUGCAGCAACGCCGCGUGAGUGAUGACGGCCUUCGGGUUGUAAAGCUCUGUCUUCAGGGACGAUA